GUAUUGUUUACUUUUUUUUAAAACUGCUCAUGUUGAAUAAACAUUAAGUAGGUUUAUCAAAGUGUCUUGACACAUGCUCAAUCAUCCAGUUAAGGAAAUCCCCUAAAGCCUUCAGUGGCCUAAGAAGUCACUUGGGUAAGUGAUGAAAUGUUGAAUACUGAAGACUCUACAUCCAGAUGAACAGAAUCAACUUUUGGGGAGUUCGUCCUUUUGACCUACAGAAAGAGCAGAUGGAUUAUACCAACCUCACACCUUUUUUAAAUCUUUGUAUGGCCGACCAUCAACCUCAUGAUCAGAAGAGAGUUUGAGGAUUUAACAGAUCUCCAUACAACAACAGCCAGAAAAAAAUCACAGCUGAGUCUGGACAGGACGUCACUCUGAUAUGUCGAGCUGCAAACAACAUCAUAGUUGUAGAGUGGAGCAGAGCUGACCUGGGAGAUGAAUAUGUGCUUUUGUACCGGGAUGAUCAGUUUGUUCCAGACAACCAGCAUCCAUCAUUUAAGAACCGGGUGGAUCUGCAGGACAGACAGAUGAAGGAUGGAGACGUGUCUUUGAUUCUGAAGAAUGUGAAGAUUAAUGAUACAGGAAUUUACAGAUGUUGUAUUGUUGAGGGAGUCAGACAACCUAUGAAGCUCAUCAGCAUCAUCUACCUGAGUGUUGUUGCUCCUCCAGGUCAGACAGGAGGACACACAGAGGAUGGAGGGAAGGAGGCAGGAGGGAAGGAGGCUGGAUCUGUUGGACUGAUCGUUGGUCUCUGCUGUGCUUCUUGUUGCUGCUGUUGUUGGGUAUUGGAUCUACCAAAAACAUAAACAACAGCAGAGUCAGGAUUCAUUUCAACCUCCUGUUGAACUUCAGCCUGUUUGAAAUGUCUCAGAGUUUUUUUCCAGAUGAACUCUGAGUCUCCUGCUGCUGUUCAGACUCUCAGUGUUGUCAGUGAACAUUCAGGUACAGACAGAUGAUCUGAUCAUCCAGCAGACAGACAUCAAACACGUCCAGAGUUGGUUUGAUGUUAAAUUUCUCUGAUUAUCAUCAAACCUGUUCAGACUGUGUCAGUGUGUCUCUGUGCUGUCUGUCAGAGACUCUGUGAACUACAGUGUUUGUUCAUCUUCAUGGUUUUUAUGGGAUUUGUUGACCAGGAGAAAAACACAUUUACAGAAUUUCAACUUAGUGUUAACAUUAGAAUAAUGUCUAAUGACAGAAUCACUGGGCCUCAUUUACAAACUGUGUGUAUGGAUGUUUCACACAAAUCUGACAUUUGCAGAUCAGGUUCGGUUUGUUCUCCAGCUGUUUUCUUCUUACUGUGAAUGUCUCAGAAGAUGAAGUAAAGACAUCAGUCGGGGAGGGAUAGCUCAGUAGGUAGAGUGGUUGCCCCAUCAUCGCAAGGUCGGGGGUUCGACUCAACUAAACCUCAGCUACCCUGAGGUACCCCUGAGCAAGGUACCGUCUCUACACACUGCUCCCUGGGUGCUGCAUUGGUGCCUGCACACUGCUUCACUGGGUGAAUGAGUGAUGUGGGGGGAGUAAUUUUCCUACAGGGACUAACAAAAACACACCUGUGGAAACAUUUUGGAAAGCUGUGCCUUUUCUGGCUUCCUCCUGAGGCACUUUUUGUUUUGUUUUUUGUUUUUGUUGUUUUUGCCUGAAAAUUGUGGGAAUGUCACUGUGCAGACUGCAGGUAGUGAGCACAAACCUGGUGAUUUGCAAUGAUUCUAAUUCACUAACAUGCAGACACCUCAUAAAUCUGACUGUAAUUUCAGAUGUGAACUUAUUUUUUGAGCAGAGUAAAAACAUUUCUUCACACAAUAGUGAAUAAAGUCCAGUGUGUAUGUUUGUUUUAGCUGUCAGGCUCAGCAGCUGUUUGUACGUCGAAGUGUUUUAAACUUAAAUUCUUCAUAAUGACCAGCCAGUCUGUGCUGUGUUUUUGGUUAGAGGCUCUCUUAAACAGCUGCCCACGUUCUGUAAUAAAUAUGCUGUU